rnacentral:rRNA from 1 species
UUUUAUAUAAAUAAUUUAUAAUAAAAUCUGCUCAAUGAUAAAUUCAAUAGCCGCAUAUCGUGCUAAGGUAGCAUAAUCAUUUGUCUUUUAAUUAAAGACUAGAACAAAAGAUUUAACAUUUUAAUUUAUUUCUUAACAUUAAUAAUGAAAUUAUCUUAAAUGUAAAAAGACAUUUCUAAAAAAGAAAGACGAUAAGACCCUAUUGAACUUUACUUUAGUUUAACUGGGGUAGUUAAUUAAUUAUUAUUUUAUUAAACCUAUUUAAAUAAAAGAUCUAAUAAAAUUAAUUUAAUAAAUAAGUUACCAUAGGGAUAACAGCAUAAUAAAUUUUUAAAGUUCUUAUCUAAAAAAUAGUUUAUGACCUCGAUGUUGAAUAAUUACUUAAUUAAUGCAAUAAUUAAUAAAAGAAGUCUGUUCGACUUUUAAACAAUUACA